GUAGGGCGCAAGCGUUGUCCGGAAUUAUUGGGCGUAAAGAGCUCGUAGGCGGUCUGUUGCGUCCGCUGUGAAAACUCGGGGCUUAACCCCGAGCCUGCAGUGGAUACGGGCAGACUAGAGGUAGGUAGGGGAGAAUGGAAUUCCCGGUGUAGCGGUGAAAUGCGCAGAUAUCGGGAGGAACACCGGUGGCGAAGGCGGUUCUCUGGGCCUUACCUGACGCUGAGGAGCGAAAGCGUGGGGAGCGAACAGG
rnacentral:rRNA from 1 species